rnacentral:rRNA from 1 species
UACGACUACCUCUGGCUCUGGCACCACCUUUAUAACGGUCUCGGCGGCGACUACCUCUGGCUCUGACACCAACUUUGUGACGACCUCGACGGCGACCUACAUAACUACCUAUAGAAAAGGGUGGACCUCGAAGGACUGGAGUAAGCACGCUCGAGGCACACGAGGAAGACCGCGAGACGCAUAUCAUCAGAUGUAUCGGUCGAACCCGUUAUAUUUGCCGGGGUCUGUGGAACGGAGGAGAUGCGGAGGCUUCGGCUACCACUCUUGCAUCGAACAGAGAUGUCAGAACGUCUUUUCUCCCAGAUGUUCGAUUGAGAAGGCCUAGGUGGAUAGGCGUCAUCCGUAGAGUAACCCAGGAGAUUACCGACCAAUCAAUGACGACUACUCUUCAGACUCGAAGUGGAAGAGUUAGGCUAGUGACCAGUUGUCUAACGGGAGGGGAGCCGCUAGUGGUAACUCGUUUAUCUCGGCUAGAAUCUAUCACGGCCACGUCAAUUAUUCUAAUUCUACACCCUAGAUCGCGGCUUGCUACUAGGUUUACUCAAAAGACUGACGGAGAUGUAGUCCCGUAAACACAAAGGACUAGGUGGGUACCCUUCGAUGUAACACCAAUAGUAGGUGUCAGGUCUCGUUAUAGAAAGCAAAAGUUCCCAUCCACUAAUAUUUACCUGGAGCGACGGCCCGCUCUUGAUACUUGUUACGUAGGUGUACCUACCAGAUAACAUACGUAAGUGUCUUUUGCCUCCUCAAAUGUGAAAACUAGACUGGCCAGGAUGGAAGUGUUCCUUAUAAUAACGUCUGCUCAACGUCUUAAUGUUCUGCCUACCCAUGUGCAUGAAACAAGUCCGAGGUACCCCACUAGACAACGUUCAAACGUCUUGUAAUCUAAAGUGUGGGCUUCACAAGUAUUUCUGGUUCUUUUAUGAUAAAAUAUUUCAACUACACCGUCGUUUUCUUGAACACCUUUACUUACCGAACGUACUAGUACACGACAAAGAACCCGCAUCAGUCAGCGUUACGGAAUCAUGGCUCCUUAUAGGUGUUGACUUCGGUUUAGCACAAAUAAAGUGCCUGCUGUACUGUAUAUAAAACUUCAUAUUCUUAUUACUGGCCCUAUAUCCAUAAGAGUUGAACCUUUUACUGUUAUCCCUUCUACAUGGAUUCGAAACCACGUUAACCGGUUUAGGGUAUACCUACUGUGGGUUGGAGUGUUCCUAAUUGUACCGAAACCUGUUUAUAAAUCAGAAAACACUUUAAUCACACGUUGACUAUUACCACAGGUCGGACUUACCCUACAGACAACCUAUAAGCGAACGGCUGUUAUGGUACCUCAGGGGAUGCUCCUUCCUACAGUAUAGACUCGUCUAUCGACUAGACCAACCCCUACGACCCCUAAAGUGGGAGAACGGUACGCGACUCGGCGCCACCCUCUUUCACCCACCGUCGCUCGGUCACCUAACCAGUAACCUAUUGACGAACAACAUAAAGUGUUACUCCUGUAAACAAACCCCCCACAUAGGAUCUCAAUUCCUACGAACCUACCUUCACCACCGGAGUGUUUCCGUGGGAUUACACGCAUCCGUUCUAGCUUUACGUGUUUAUGGACGAGUCCAACAUCACAAAAGUAAGCGAGAACCUUCAGUAUAGUGUUCGUGUAGGCAUCGAUAACCGGAACUUGUAAAGUGGAAGGUCCACUACUGGUUAGUUCUCCAACAACUACUCUAGUUGUGGUCUCCCCGCCUGUCCGUCGACGCUUCGUAGACU